UAAAAAACAAGACAAAUCAUGCAUCGAAGACAGUGGCUUGAAAAAUAUGUGCAGAGUAUGCUGCACAGAAAAUGGAAAGAUUGCUAUAUUCAAUAAUGCAAGGUACCCAAAUAUGCCUGAAGAUAUAAUUCAAUUUUCAGGAGUAGAUGUGAGUAUGAAGCAAAAAAGGUCCGCAAAAAUGAUAAUUUUCCUCAACAUAUUUGCCAUGCAUGCAUUAAAUUAUUAAAUGGAUGUAUUAAAUUCAGGUUUAUUUGUAAUUUAAGCCACAAGAGACUGUCCAAGAUACAUUCCAAGCAAGAAACCAUAGAAAUAGUUAAUGUGAAUGUUAUACCCAAUGAAACAGAAGAGUCCUACAAUGUUCCUUCCCCAUCAUUUCCUGAUGAUAAUAUGGAAAACUGGACAUGUACAACAUGCAACAAAGAAUUUCAGGAUUGUCAUACUUAUAAUGAUCACCUAUCGGAAUGUACGGCGAUGUUAGAUGCCAAGAAAAAACAAAAUGCUGAAAUCAAUAAAAAAGCUUUUCUCUGUGAUGUAUGUGGCAAAGCAACACCAUCCUAUGCUCAGCUCCUAUUGCAUAAGACAAUUCAUGAAGAUGUUUUUCCACACAAAUGUGAUCAGUGUCCAUACAGAGGGAAAACCGUGAAUCUACUAAGGAUACACAAGAAGUCACACCUCGUUGAUAAGCCAUAUAAAUGUACACAGUGUCCGAAAGCCACAUCCACAUCCAGCAAUUUAGCUAGACAUAUGCGAAUUGCUCAUACUACU